GACGAACGCUGGCGGCGUGCUUAACACAUGCAAGUCGAACGGUGAAGCGCCUUCCUUUUUGGUGGGUGUGGAUGAGUGGCGAACUGGUGAGUAACACGUGAGUAACCUGCCCCCUUCUUCUGGAUAACCGCAUGAAAGUGUGGCUAAUACGGGAUAUUCUGGGUCUGUCGCAUGAUGGGUCUGGGAAAGAUAUUGUUUCGGUGGGGGAUGGGCUCGCGGCCUAUCAGCUUGUUGGUGGGGUGAUGGCCUACCAAGGCGGGGACGGGUAGCCGGCCUGAGAGGGUGGACGGUCACGCUGGGGCUGAGACACGGCCCGGACUCCUACGGGAGGCAGCAGUGGGGAGUAUUGCAGAAUGGGCGAAAGCCUGAUGCAGCGACGCCGCGUGAGGGAUGGAGGCCUUCGGGUUGUGAACCUCUUUCGGGAGUGAAGCAUGCCUGCCUCGUUUGUGGGUGGGUUGACGGUAGCUUGAUAAGAAGCGCCGGCUAACUACGUG
rnacentral:rRNA from 1 species